rnacentral:rRNA from 1 species
GUGGAUUAGAUACCCCGGUAGUCCACGCCCUAAACGGUGCACACUAGGUCUUGGCGGAUUCGACCCCACCAGGGCCCAAGCUAACGCGUUAAGUGUGCCGCCUGAGGACUACGGCCGCAAGGCUAAAACUCAAAGGAAUUGACGGGGGCCCGCACAAGCGGUGGAGCAUGUGGCUCAAUUCGAUGCAACGCGAAGAACCUUACCAGGCCUUGACAUGCACUAGACAGACUCUGAAAGGAGUCCUCCCUUCGGGGCUGGUGCACAGGUGCUGCACGGCCGUCGACAGCU